UUUCUAAGUUACCUUCACGGA
rnacentral:piRNA from 1 species